rfam:Salmo salar isolate Sally breed double haploid chromosome ssa05, whole genome shotgun sequence.
UGGCUCAGUUGGUAGAGCAUAGUGUUUGCAAUGCCAGGGUCGUGGGUUUGAUUCCCAC